rnacentral:SRP_RNA from 1 species
GCCAGGUGGGGUGGCAUGCCUGUUGCCCCAGCUACUGGGGAGGCUGCGGCGGGAGGAUCGCUUGAGCCCAGGAUCUCUGAGCUGUAGUGCGCUAUGCCCAUCGGGUGUCCACACUAAUAUAGUGUGAUCUCCCAGGAGUGAGGGACCACCAGGUUGCCUAAAGGGGGGUGAACUGGUGCAGGUCAAAACUCUCUCGCUGAUCAGCAGUGGGACUGCCUGUGAAUCGCCACUGCACUCCAGUGGCAACAUGGCAAAACCCCAUCUCU